GACGAACCGUGCGAACGUUGUUCGGAAUCACUGGGCUUAAAGGGCGCGUAGGCGGGCCUUCAAGUCCGGGGUGGAAAUCCUCCCGCCUAACGGGAGAAGAGCCUCGGAGACUAGGGCCUCGAGGGGGGGUAGGGGGCGUGCGGAACUAUGGGUGAGCGGUGAAAUGCAUUGAUAUCCAUAGGAACUCCGGUGGCGAAGGCGGCACGCUGGACCCCUUCUGACGCUGAGGCGCGAAAGCCGGGGAGCAAAGCGGGAUUAAGAUGACCCU
rnacentral:rRNA from 1 species